rnacentral:rRNA from 1 species
UACGUAGGGGGCUAGCGUUGUCCGGAAUCAUUGGGCGUAAAGCGCGUGUAGGCGGCCCGGUAAGUCCGCUGUGAAAGUCGGGGGCUCAACCCUCGGAUGCCGGUGGAUACUGUCGGGCUCGAGUACGGAAGAGGCGAGUGGAAUUCCUGGUGUAGCGGUGAAAUGCGCAGAUAUCAGGAGGAACACCGAUUGCGAAAGCAGCUCUCUGGGACGGUACUGACGCUGAGACGCGAAAGCGUGGGGAGCGAACAGG